GGAGAGAUGGCAGAGUGGUCGAUUGCGGCGGUCUUGAAUACCGUUGAGGUGAAAGCCUCCGGGGGUUCGAAUCCCUCUUUCUCCGCCA
rnacentral:tRNA from 1 species